AUUGAACGCUGGCGGCAUGCCUUACACAUGCAAGUCGAACGGCAGCGGACCUUCGGGUGCCGGCGAGUGGCGAACGGGUGAGUAAAGUAUCGGAACGUGCCUUUCAGUGGGGGAUAACGUAGCGAAAGUUACGCUAAUACCGCAUAUUCUCUGAGGAGGAAAGCAGGGGACCUUCGGGCCUUGCGCUGAUAGAGCGGCCGAUAUCAGAUUAGCUAGUUGGUGAGGUAAAGGCUCACCAAGGCGACGAUCUGUAGCGGGUCUGAGAGGAUGAUCCGCCACACUGGAACUGAGACACGGUCCAGACUCCUACGGGAGGCAGCAGUGGGGAAUUUUGGACAAUGGGGGCAACCCUGAUCCAGCCAUGCCGCGUGAGUGAAGAAGGCCUUCGGGUUGUAAAGCUCUUUCGGCCGGGAAGAAAUCGCGCCAGUUAAUACCUGGUGUGGAUGACGGUACCGGAAUAAGAAGCACCGGCUAACUACGUGCCAGCCGCCGCAGUAAUAC
rnacentral:rRNA from 1 species